rnacentral:rRNA from 1 species
GACGGGACCCGCACAAGCGGUGGAUGAUGUGGAUUAAUUCGAUGCAACGCGAAGAACCUUACCUACCCUUGACAUGUCCGGAACUUGCCAGAGAUGGCUUGGUGCCCGAAAGGGAAUCGGAACACAGGUGCUGCAUGGCUGUCGUCAGCUCGUGUCGUGAGAUGUUGGGUUAAGUCCCGCAACGAGCGCAACCCUUAUCAUUAGUUGCUACGCAAGGGCACUCUAAUGAGACUGCCGGUGACAAACCGGAGGAAGGUGGGGAUGACGUCAAGUCCUCAUGGCCCUUAUGGGUAGGGCUUCACACGUCAUACAAUGGUCGGUACAGAGGGUUGCCAAGCCGCGAGGCGGAGCCAAUCCCACAAAGCCGAUCGUAGUCCGGAUUGUUCUCUGCAACUCGAGAGCAUGAAGUCGGAAUCGCUAGUAAUCGCAGGUCAGCAUACUGCGGUGAAUACGUUCCCGGGUCUU